rnacentral:rRNA from 1 species
UACGGGGGGGGCAAGCGUUGUUCGGAAUUACUGGGCGUAAAGCGUGCGUAGGCGGUUAUGUAAGUCAGAUGUGAAAGCCCCGGGCUCAACCUGGGAAUUGCAUUUGAGACUGCAUAGCUAGGGUGCGGAAGAGGGAAGCGGAAUUUCCGGUGUAGCGGUGAAAUGCGUAGAUAUCGGAAGGAACACCAGUGGCGAAAGCGGCUUCCUGGUCCAGCACCGACGUUCAGGCACGAAAGCGUGGGGAGCAAACAGG